rnacentral:rRNA from 1 species
AACGCUGGCGGCGUGCUUAACACAUGCAAGUCGAACGCGAAAGGGACUUCGGUCCUGAGUAAAGUGGCGCACGGGUGAGUAACGCGUAGAUAACCUGUCUUCAUGUCUGGAAUAAUACGCCAAAGGGGUACUAAUACCGGAUAUUCUUGCUUUUCAUAAGUUAUGCAAGCAAAGGUGGCCUCUGCAUAUGCUACUGCAUGAAGAGGGGUCUGCGUACCAUUAGCUAGUAGGUGGGGUAAUGGCCUACCUAGGCGACGAUGGUUAGCGGGUCUGAGAGGAUGAUCCGCCACACUGGCACUGGAACACGGGCCAGACUCCUACGGGAGGCAGCAGUGAGGAAUAUUGCGCAAUGGGGGAAACCCUGACGCAGCGACGCCGCGUGAGUGAAGGAAGGCCUUCGGGUCGUAAAGCUCUGUCAAGAGGAAAGAAGUGUACAAUGGCUAAUACCUGUUGUAUUUGACGGUACCUCUAAAGGAAGCACCGGCUAACUCCGUGCCAGCAGCCGC